AAGCAAACCCGGAAGCGCGCCUCCACAGUUGCUGAGUGGGUUGUGAGUUGUGUGCGUACGUUUGUUCGUUCGAGUGUUUGAGUGAGUAAAUGAGCUUUGCGUGUGUGUUUCUGGGUGAGUGCGUGAAUGAAUGUCUUCUUUAAAAACCUACACACUGAUCUUAUUUGAUUUGACCCGAGUUUGGCUCUGCUUGGGUCAGAAAUGAUAAGAACAAACGCUCUGUAGCCAUCGACGGCAAUGUACAGCAGCGCGUCUUUUAGAGCUUCUCCACGCUUAAGCUGUGGUUAGAAGUGAUGAAUUGAUCAGAUAUACUAGUCCUCGGUGUGUUCUUGGGUUUAUCCCUGGAUACACUGUGGGACAAUGAGUAUAGAGGCGAUUCUGAUCUUU
ensembl:scaRNA Small Cajal body-specific RNA 2